UACGGAGGGGGCUAGCGUUGUUCGGAAUUACUGGGCGUAAAGCGCACGUAGGCGGCUUUGUAAGUUAGAGGUGAAAGCCCGGAGCUCAACUCCGGAAUUGCCUUUAAGACUGCAUCGCUAGAAUUGUGGAGAGGUGAGUGGAAUUCCGAGUGUAGAGGUGAAAUUCGUAGAUAUCGGGAGGAACACCAGUGGCGAAGGCGGCUUUCUGGACAUUUACUGACGCUGAGACGCGAAAGCGUGGGGAGCAAACAGG
rnacentral:rRNA from 1 species